rnacentral:rRNA from 1 species
GGAUAAAAGGUACUCCGGGGAUAACAGGCUGAUACCGCCCAAGAGUUCAUAUCGACGGCGGUGUUUGGCACCUCGAUGUCGGCUCAUCACAUCCUGGGGCUGAAGUAGGUCCCAAGGGUAUGGCUGUUCGCCAUUUAAAGUGGUACGCGAGCUGGGUUUAGAACGUCGUGAGACAGUUCGGUCCCUAUCUGCCGUGGGCGCUGGAGAAUUGAGGGGGGCUGCUCCUAGUACGAGAGGACCGGAGUGGACGCAUCACUGGUGUUCGGGUUGUCAUGCCAAUGGCACUGCCCGGUAGCUAAAUGCGGAAGAGAUAAGUGCUGAAAGCAUCUAAGCACGAAACUUGCCCCGAGAUGAGUUCUCCCUGAGACUUUAAGUCUCCUGAAGGAACGUUAAAGACGAUGACGUUGAUAGGCCGGGUGUGUAAGCGCAGCGAUGCGUUGAGCUAACCGGUACUAAUGAACCGUGAGGCUUAACCUU